GGUGAAAAGGAUGAACCCUGGGUCGCUGAUUCAUGUGACUUGAUAAACGCCAUCCAUUUCCUGAUUCACC
ensembl:snoRNA SNORD123 small nucleolar RNA, C/D box 123